CAAUCAGAACAGAUUUAUUUGCAAACGCGUGGAACGCUCAAACCCCAGAUUUCGUUUCAUGGAAACCCCAACCCGGUGCACGAGCGGUUGAUGCUUUUACAUGCAACUGGAGAAAUGUAGAUGGUUAUCUCUUUCCCCCCUUUUCCCUUAUUCCUCGUUGUCUGGCGAAGAUAAGGAGAGAACGGUGCACAGUCACCAUGGUAUGCCCAGUAUGGCCAAGUCAACCAUGGUAUCCCCUUAUAUUAGAGUUAGUGUGCGACACACCAAGAAUCUUACCACCCGGCCACCAAUUACUGACCUCUCCAUCCGGAAAUCCGCAUCCGCUCGCGGGGGCCAACCUUAUGCUAGCCGCCUGGAGACUAUCAGGAUCGGACUCGAAAGUAAAGGAUUUUCAGGGAACACUGUCAAAGUACUGUUGGCAGGGAGUCGUACAUCCACGCUAUCUACCUACGAGUCAGCGUGGCGCAACUGGAAUAAUUGGUGUGCUGGGGAGCAUCAUGAUCCCAUGUCAAAUGAUUUGACAGUCAUGUUGGACUUCCUUACGACCUUGCAUAUGGAGGAUAGCGUGGCCAUUGGGCAGCAUCCGCUAGUAAUACGUUUUAUGAAAGGAUGUUAUAAUGAAAAUCCCCCUAGGCCUAAAUACUCGUCGAUCUGGGACGUGGAAGUCGUUUUCAGCUAUAUGCGUCAUGCGGGUAACAAUUUGUCACUAGAUCUCUCAUCGCUUACAAAAAAACUGGCUACAUUAUUGGCGGUCUCUACCCUACUGAGAGUGUCUGAAAUAGCAUCUUUAGACAAACGUACUUUGGAAUUUUCCUCUUCCGGAGCUAAGAUAGCUCUCUCCAAACCAAGAAAGGCUCAAACAAGCGGUCCUUUGCGACAUUAAUAGGACAGAGGCAAAUCAGCAGCAUUUACUCAUCAGUUUAAUACAACCGUUCGGGUCAGUUUCAGGCAAUACGGUGGCUAGAUGGAUAAAAGAGUAUUUGUCAGAUGCAGGAAUCGACACAUCAAUUUUUUCAGCUCAUUCAACAAGGGGCGCCGCAGCUUCAGAAGCAGCAAGAUCAGGAAUUUCGAUAGAUGCAAUUCUUCGAGCGGGAGAUUGGUCGAACGAAACAACCUUUGCAAAAUACUACAACCGAGAAAUCACGCUUUGAAAUCACCCUUAGGGAAGUACAGAGGAGGUUUUGGAAGACGUGGAGGUGGCCAGCAGUACAACGGGCAGUGAGUUCUUCCGCACCAUUGCCCACAAGCCCAUGCAAGCCAGGAAUUAUCAUUAUUUUCAAGUUUCAGUCGCGCUAUCAUCGCGAGAUCCUUUAGUUUUGUUUUGGUUCCCCCUUUUUUCCCUUGUUUGUUUGCAUAAGAGGGCUUGUACAGUUUGUGCUAUAUCCUU
rnacentral:misc_RNA from 1 species